GACGAACGCUGGCGGCGUGCUUAAUACAUGCAAGUCAACUCGACUUUAGAUAGCAAUAUCGAAAAGUAGGGUGGCGCACGGGUGCGUAACGCGUAGGUAAUCUGCCAUGAGGUCUGACAUAACCCGUCGAAAGGCGGGCUAACAUCAGAUGAUAUAUAAUCACGACAUCGUGGAAAUAUCGAAUCUUCGGAGCCUUGGGAUGAGCCUGCGUCUGAUUAGGUAGUUGGCGGAGUAAUAGCCCACCAAGCCUACGAUCAGUAGCUGGUCUGAGAGGAUGAUCAGCCACACUGGAACUGAGACACGGUCCAGACUCCUACGGGAGGCAGCAGUAAGGAAUAUUGCUCAAUGGGGGAAACCCUGAAGCAGCAACGCCGCGUGAAGGAUGAAAUACUUUGUAUGUAAACUUCUGUAAGAUGGGAAAAAUAUUACUCCUCGGGAGAAUUGAUUGUACCAUCAGAGUAAGCCCCGGCUAAC
rnacentral:rRNA from 1 species